GGGGGCGUUCUUGGAUUCGACGGGGAUAGUUCGAGCAUGGGUAGCGGGUAGUGGGGACGCGUCCGCUUCAUCAACGCUAACGCCAAAUUUAAACGGCAAACAACAAACUUCUUACGCUUUAGCAGCUUAAUAACCUGCUAGCGUGCUUCUACCCUGCAUCGCCCAUGUGCCGGGAUAGGGGCUCAACUUCAGUGGGAUACGCCGCGUAGUCUCCGCCUGGGGCUAACGGAAGAAGACAAUCAGGCUGACCUGUGAGAAAGCCGGUUACAGGGCGUUCCCGCAGGUGACAUCAAAACUGUGACUACACCCGUAGAAGCCUGUGUGGCGUUAUCUUCGGACAGGGGUUCGAAUCCCCUCGCCUCCACCA
rfam:Paenibacillus dendritiformis C454 PDENDC1000072, whole genome shotgun sequence.